rnacentral:ncRNA from 1 species
UCUUAUCAAGAUCGGUGGAGGGACUGGCCCAAUGAAACCAGGCAACCUCCCGGUAAAAACCGGGGAUGGUGCCAAUUCCUGCAGCGCCGAAGGAGCGCUGAGAGAUAAGA